UACAGAGGCCACGAGCGUUAGGCGGAAUCACUGGGCUUAAAGCGUGUGUAGGUGGAUCGGUAAGUACCUUGUGAAAUCCCACGACUCAAUCGUGGAACUGCUUGGUAUACUGCCAGUCUUGAGGCACUCAGGGGCGAGCGGAACAGAUGGUGGAGCGGUGAAAUGCGUAGAUAUCAUCUGGAACGCCAAUGGUGAAGACAGCUCGCUGGGGGUGUUCUGACACUGAGACACGAAAGCCAGGGAGCAAGCGGG
rnacentral:rRNA from 1 species